rnacentral:piRNA from 1 species
UAACCAUCUGUGUGCUAACUUUGUCUUUA